GCUUAUUAAACCUCUCUCUAACUUGCUCUACCUUCUCUCUACCAAAGUUUCUAAAUCAAAGAAUCUCGUAGGUGACCGGUGGUCUUUCCACCGGUUACCAUCUUUUUUAUUUUGUUUUUUGUUGUGAAUACUUUCGAUCUAUGUAUCGAACUUGCUUCGCGUAGGCGAUCUUGUUUUCGUUAGGCGAUUUUGGUGUGCUAAGCUUUAAUCAAAACAGACCCGAUUUUCACUCGUAAUGUUUCUCUAUUUUGAAUUAAAGCUGAAUAAAGUUUUCAAGUUAAACUUCAUCUCUCGUAUUUCAACUUAUCUAUUCCUGUUUGUCUCUAAAAUUUUCUUCUUCUUUAUCUGGUCAUGCUUGAUCUUCAAGUUUGAAGAAAUCAAUCUUUGCUUCAUAUGGAUUUGGCAAAGUAUUCGGAUGAUUUGAAGAUUUGAGUUUUUACAAGUGAGCUUUUGGUUUGGUACAGUUUAAGAAAAGACAGAGUUUGUUCUAUAGACAAGUGUUCUGUCAAUAGCUGUGUCCUAAAUCAGAUAAUGCUUCUUGAAGAUGUUCACAUCCAGUGAAGACAGUAAGAGAGUCUCAGAGGCAACAGCGAUUGAGAGACUGAAGCAUACAAAUGGAAUCAAAGUUGGGUUCGAUCUUUGUGUUCCGGAGGAAUCGACUCGUCGAAGUUCAAGUCGGUUACCUUGCCGGAGAAGAGGCAAUCCUUUCCCAUGAGUGACACGUGGAGCCAGUUAAGAGAUGAUGGAGGCACGUAGAUGGACAACUGCCUUACUCUUGUUCAUCCUUAUCAUAUAAUUUAGGGUUUAAUUGGGCUCAGCAUUUGUAAUGGGUUUGAAUUCCAUUUGUAACAAAAAUUGCCCUUUGGGCUUUUAAUAUAAAGGUUGACAAAAAAAAAAUAUAUAUAUAUAUAUGCUUAUUGUUUUGUUAAAUUUUAAAAACAUUCACA
rnacentral:lncRNA from 1 species